rnacentral:rRNA from 1 species
GACGAACGCUGGCGGCGUGCUUAACACAUGCAAGUCGAACGGAAAGGCCUCUUUCGGGGGGUACUCGAGUGGCGAACGGGUGAGUAACACGUGAGUAACCUGCCCUUGACUUUGGGAUAACUUCAGGAAACUGGGGCUAAUACCGGAUAGGAGCUCCUGCUGCAUGGUGGGGGUUGGAAAGUUUCGGCGGUUGGGGAUGGACUCGCGGCUUAUCAGCUUGUUGGUGGGGUAGUGGCUUACCAAGGCUUUGACGGGUAGCCGGCCUGAGAGGGUGACCGGCCACAUUGGGACUGAGAUACGGCCCAGACUCCUACGGGAGGCAGCAGUGGGGAAUAUUGCACAAUGGGUGGAAGCCUGAUGCAGCAACGCCGUGUGCGGGACGACGGCCUUCGGGUUGUAAACCGCUUUCGCUCAUGACGAAGCUUUGUGUGACGGUAGUGGGUAAAGAAGCACCGGCUAACUACGU